rnacentral:lncRNA from 1 species
UUCAAAAUGUCACAGAGUUUCACAUCCUUACUAAAGAUUCACUCAAAUCACUCGAGGUGUUUAAGGAAAAUAAAUGAAGCACUCAAUAGUCAAUAAUGAAAAGUCAUUACCAUAGGCUUGCAUGAAAAUCAAAUCUCCACAAUUAUAUAUUAAAAUGAACAUCAAUCAAAAGGUCUUUAAAGGGUUGUAACGUGGCUUUUGUUAGGGGGUGUGGUCACAAGUUGAAAGAGA